rnacentral:ncRNA from 1 species
UGUAAUGGUGGAAUUGUUUUGAUGGACAAUAAUGCAGCAUGUGAUGUUGUCGGUAGAGGAACAAUCCAAAUAAAAAUGCAUGAUGGUAUUGUGAGGACGCUCACUAAUGUUAGAUAUGUUCCUGAUUUAAAAAAGAAUCUCAUCUCUUUAGGCACCCUAGAGGCUCUUAGGGGAAGUCCGGAGGCGCCGGCGGGGGCCCCGGGAAGAGUUAUCUUUUCUGCUUAACGGCCCGCCCACCCUGGAAAUGGCUCAGCCGGAGGUAGGGUCGGUCGGAAGAGCACCGCACGUCGCACGACGUCCGGUGCGCCCCCAGCGGCCCUUGAAAAUCCGGAGGACCGAGUGCCGCCUACGCCCGGUCAUACUCAUAACCGCAUCAGGUCUCCAAGGUGAACAACCUCUG